GUGCUCGCUUCGGCAGCACAGAUACUAAAAUUGGAAUGAUACAGGGAAGAUUAGCAGGGCUCCUGCACAAGAAUGACAUGCAAAUUUGUGAAGCGUUCCAUAUUUUU
ensembl:snRNA U6 U6 spliceosomal RNA